GAACAAAGACCAUUGCUCUUAUUUACAAUGGAGUUUAUGAGAUUGAAGAAGACAUUUACACAAACAGACUUCACUGGAGCAGCACUGGACACUUCACUCUCUCAGAUCUACAGAAAAAUGACUCUGGAGUUUAUGCCAUCGACUCUAAAAAAGGAAAUGUGUUUUAUAAAUUAUAUGAACUAAAAGUCUACGAUCCAGUGUCACGUCCAGUAGUGUCCUGUGUGAACGUGAGCGCUGAUAUCUGCACUCUUCAGUGUUCAGUGACUCUCACGGAGCAGACCACACUGAGCUGGUUCAGAGGAGAGCAGCCUGUGGACAGCAGCAGCUCUGCAGUGCAGCUCCUCACUGUCCAACUGAGGAAAAACACCCCAGAGUACAAAUGUGUGGCUCAAAACCCCGCUGAUAAGAAGAUUGUUAUAGUUGAUAUUACUACUCUCUGCACAAAUUUGACGAGUGAUGCGAACACAAAAAACUCACAGCGUAAGGAUUUAAAUAUGAUGAAAAAAAGGAAGUUACUUAUAAAUAAUCUUGUCUCUUUUUUGUCAUCU
ensembl:lncRNA